rnacentral:rRNA from 1 species
AGAGUUUGAUUCUGGCUCAGAACGAACGCUGGCGGCGUGGAUUAGGCAUGCAAGUCGGACGAUCCCGGACUCGUUUCGGGAUAGUGGCAAACAGAUGAGUAACGCGUGGAUAACCUACCCUGAGCUUGGGGACAACACUGAGAAAUCGGUGCUAAUACCGAAUGCGGUGCCGGUGUGCUUCACCGGUACUAAAGGUGGCCUCUCCUUGGAAGCUGCCGGUUCAGGAUGGGUCCGCGUCCUAUUAGCUUGUUGGUGAGGUAAUGGCUCACCAAGGCGACGAUGGGUACCCGGGCUGAGAGGCUGGUCGGGCAUAUUGGGACUGAGACACUGCCCAAACUCCUACGGGAGGCUGCAGUCGAGAAUAUUUCGCAAUGGGGGAAACCCUGACGACGCGACGCCGCGUGAGCGAUGAAGGUUUUCGGAUUGUAAAGCUCUGUCACCAGGGAGGAAAUGCGGGAAAAUCAACACCUUUCUCGUUAGACAUUACCUGGAGAGGAAGCCCCGGCUAACUCCGUGCCAGCAGCCGCGGUAAUACGGAGGGGGCAAGCGUUGUUCGGAUUCACUGGGCGUAAAGGGUGUGUAGGCGGAUAGGUAAGUGGAGCGCGAAAGCCUGAGGCUUAACUUCAGAAUUGCGUUUCAAACUGCCUGUCUAGAGUACAGGAGAGGUAAGUGGAAUUCUCAGUGUAGCGGUGAAAUGCGUAGAUAUUGAGAAGAACACCAGAAGUGAAAACGGCUUACUAUUCUGAUACUGACGCUGAGGCACGAAGGCUAGGGGAGCAAACAGGAUUAGAUACCCUGGUAGUCCUAGCAGUAAACGAUGUCAACUUGGUGUGGGGAGGUUCGACCUUCUCCGUGCCGGAGCUAACGCGUUAAGUUGACCGCCUGGGGAGUACGGCCGCAAGGCUAAAACUCAAAGAAAUUGACGGGGGCCCGCACAAGCGGUGGAGCAUGUGGUUUAAUUCGAAGCAACGCGAAGAACCUUACCUGGACUUGACAUGUAUUUGACAGGCUACGAAAUUAGCUUUCCCUUCGGGGCGGAUACACAGGUGUUGCAUGGCUGUCGUCAGCUCGUGUCGUGAGAUGUUGGGUUAAGUCCCGCAACGAGCGCAACCCUUAUUUUCAGUUACCAGCGGGUUAUGCCGGGGACUCUGAAGAGACUGCCUGUGGUAAGCAGGAGGAAGGUGGGGACGACGUCAAGUCAUUAUGGCCCUUACGUCCAGGGCUACACACGUGCUACAAUGGCCGGUACAAUGGGGAGUAAAACCGCGAGGUGGAGCAAAUCCUGGAAAACCGGUCCCAGUUCGGAUUGGAGUCUGCAACCCGACUCCAUGAAGCAGGAAUCGCUAGUAAUGGCAGAUCAGCUACGCUGCCGUGAAUACGUUCCCGGGCCUUGUACACACCGCCCGUCACAUCAUGAAAGUUGGUUUUACCCGUAGUCGCUAUACUAACUGUAAAAGGAGGAAAGCGCCGAAGGUGAGGCCGAUAAUUGGGAUGAAGUCGUAACAAGGCA